UACGGAGGAUGCAAGCGUUAUCCGGAAUUAUUGGGCGUAAAGCGUCCGUAGGUGGUGGUGCAAGUCAGUUGUUAAAGCGCGGAGCUUAACUCCGUAAGGGCAAUUGAAACUGCGCCGCUAGAGUGCGAUAGGGGCAAGGGGAAUUCCCAGUGUAGCGGUGAAAUGCGUAGAUAUUGGGAAGAACACCGGUGGCGAAAGCGCCUUGCUGGGUCUGCACUGACACUGAGGGACGAAAGCUAGGGGAGCGAAAGGG
rnacentral:rRNA from 1 species